UUAACUAUUAUUACAUGUAAAUUAAAAUAUUUGAUCCGUUUAAUUUCUUCCCUAAUACAUUUACCAUUACAAAACAACAAUUAACUUUUGAAAAAUUGACACGAAAUUCAAAAUUGGAACCAUGAUUAAAAGCUAAAUCUAGCAAAAUUCGAACCAUGAUUAAAAGCUAAAUCUAAAGUCAUAAUCACAUAGAUGGAUUAUGGUAAAUUUAAUUUUUCUAUUCAUCUAUAGGAAACGUGUCUGGAUGGAUUCUCCCACGACGAUGCGGACAA
rnacentral:lncRNA from 1 species